rnacentral:rRNA from 1 species
UACGGAGGGUGCAAGCGUUAUCCGGAUUCACUGGGUUUAAAGGGUGCGUAGGUGGGUUGGUAAGUCAGUGGUGAAAUCUCCGAGCUUAACUUGGAACUGCCGUUGAUACUAUCAAUCUUGAAUAUCGCGUAGGUAAGCGGAAUAUGUCAUGUAGCAGUGAAAUGCUUAGAUAUGACAUAGAACACCAAUUGCGAAGGCAGCUUACUUCACGAUCAUUGACACUGAGGCACGAAAGCGUGGGGAGCAAACAGG